UACGGAGGGUGCAAGCGUUAUCCGGAUUCACUGGGUUUAAAGGGUGCUUAGGCGGACACUUAAGUCCGUGGUGAAAUCUCUGGGCUUAACCCAGAAACUGCCAUGGAUACUAUUUGUCUUGAAUGUUGUGGAGGUUAGCGGAAUAUGUCAUGUAGCGGUGAAAUGCAUAGAUAUGACAUAGAACACCAAUUGCGAAGGCAGCUGGCUACACAAAUAUUGACGCUGAGGCACGAAAGCGUGGGGAUCAAACAGG
rnacentral:rRNA from 1 species